UACGUAGGGUGCUAGCGUUGUCCGGAUUUAUUGGGCGUAAAGGGCUCGUAGGCGGCGUGUCGCGUCGGGAGUGAAAGUCCGGGGCUCAACUCCGGAUCUGCGGUGGGUACGGGCAGACUAGAGUGAUGUAGGGGAGACUGGAAUUCCUGGUGUAGCGGUGAAAUGCGUAGAGAUCGGGAGGAACAUCAGUUGCGAAGGCGGCUCUCUGGACCAGCACUGACACUGAGGCACGAAAGCGUGGG
rnacentral:rRNA from 1 species